rnacentral:rRNA from 1 species
GAUGAACGCUGGCGGCGUGCCUAAUACAUGCAAGUCGAGCGAACGGACGAGAAGCUUGCUUCUCUGAUGUUAACGGCGGACGGGUGAGUAACACGUGGAUAACCUACCUAUAAGACUGGGAUAACUUCGGGAAACCGGAGCUAAUACCGGAUAAUAUUUUGAACCGCAUGGUUCAAAAGUGAAAGACGGUCUUGCUGUCACUUAUAGAUGGAUCCGCGCUGCAUUAGCUAGUUGGUAAGGUAACGGCUUACCAAGGCAACGAUGCAUAGCCGACCUGAGAGGGUGAUCGGCCACACUGGAACUGAGACACGGUCCAGACUCCUACGGGAGGCAGCAGUAGGGAAUCUUCCGCAAUGGGCGAAAGCCUGACGGAGCAACGCCGCGUGAGUGAUGAAGGUCUUCGGAUCGUAAAACUCUGUUAUUAGGGAAGAACAUAUGUGUAGGUAACUGUGCACAUCUUGACGGUACCUAAUCAGAAAGCCACGGCUAACUACGUG